CGGGACACGUGGUAUCCUGUCUGAAUAUGGGGGGACCAUCCUCCAAGGCUAAAUACUCCUGACUGACCGAUAGUGAACCAGUACCGUGAGGGAAAGGCGAAAAGAACCCCGGCGAGGGGAGUGAAAAAGAACCUGAAACCGUGUACGUACAAGCAGUGGGAGCACGCUUAGGCGUGUGACUGCGUACCUUUUGUAUAAUGGGUCAGCGACUUAUAUUCUGUAGCAAGGUUAACCGAAUAGGGGAGCCGAAGGGAAACCGAGUCUUAACUGGGCGUUAAGUUGCAGGGUAUAGACCCGAAACCCGGUGAUCUAGCCAUGGGCAGGUUGAAGGUUGGGUAACACUAACUGGAGGACCGAACCGACUAAUGUUGAAAAAUUAGCGGAUGACUUGUGGCUGGGGGUGAAAGGCCAAUCAAACCGGGAGAUAGCUGGUUCUCCCCGAAAGCUAUUUAGGUAGCGCCUCGUGAAUUCAUCUCCGGGGGUAGAGCACUGUUUCGGCAAGGGGGUCAUCCCGACUUACCAACCCGAUGCAAACUGCGAAUACCGGAGAAUGUUAUCACGGGAGACACACGGCGGGUGCUAACGUCCGUCGUGAAGAGGGAAACAACCCAGACCGCCAGCUAAGGUCCCAAAGUCAUGGUUAAGUGGGAAACGAUGUGGGAAGGCCCAGACAGCCAGGAUGUUGGCUUAGAAGCAGCCAUCAUUUAAAGAAAGCGUAAUAGCUCACUGGUCGAGUCGGCCUGCGCGGAAGAUGUAACGGGGCUAAACCAUGCACCGAAGCUGCGGCAGCGACGCUUAUGCGUUGUUGGGUAGGGGAGCGUUCUGUAAGCCUGUGAAGGUGUGCUGUGAGGCAUGCUGGAGGUAUCAGAAGUGCGAAUGCUGACAUAAGUAACGAUAAAGCGGGUGAAAAGCCCGCUCGCCGGAAGACCAAGGGUUCCUGUCCAACGUUAAUCGGGGCAGGGUGAGUCGACCCCUAAGGCGAGGCCGAAAGGCGUAGUCGAUGGGAAACAGGUUAAUAUUCCUGUACUUGGUGUUACUGCGAAGGGGGGACGGAGAAGGCUAUGUUGGCCGGGCGACGG
rnacentral:rRNA from 1 species